CGUCCGAAAAUACUUGUCAUCAAAAUUGACAAAAAGAGAUGUAUCUAGAACUAAAAUACAUCUAGAUACAUCCCCUUUUAUUCAUUUUAAUGACAAGUAUUUCUGGGCG
rnacentral:pre_miRNA from 1 species